rnacentral:snRNA from 1 species
UAACGCAGGUGUCCUAAGA